rnacentral:rRNA from 1 species
UACGUAGGGUGCAAGCGUUAAUCGGAUAUACUGGGCGUAAAGCGCACGUAGGCGGCGCAGCAAGUCAGGGGUGAAAUCCCGGAGCUCAACUCCGGAACUGCCUUUGAAACUGCAGUGCUAGAAUCCUGGAGAGGCGAGUGGAAUUCCGAGUGUAGAGGUGAAAUUCGUAGAUAUUCGGAAGAACACCAGUGGCGAAGGCGACUCGCUGGACAGGUAUUGACGCUGAGGUGCGAAAGCGUGGGGAGCAAACAGG